rnacentral:piRNA from 1 species
UGAGACGAGAAGAAAAGAUUU